rnacentral:lncRNA from 1 species
GGCUGCCUUGUCGAGCCGGUGACGCCUUCCGCCAGCGAUGUUCACCGAAGUGCAUUGAUUUCUUAAAGCAAGAGUUUUAUGUCAGAAAAACAAAUAGAAUAGAUAGAGAAAAAGAAAAAGGGAUAGAAACAAGGAAAUGGGGACGGCAACAGCAGCAGCCGCGAGCCACCGCCGGCGCUGCCGCGCCACGGCGGUCCGCUGUGGCCGCCAAUAGCAAGAGGAGAGAGAGAGAGGUUGAGGGCAGAGAGAGAGAAAGAUCGAGACAGAGAGAGGGGUUGAGAGAAGGAGAACGAGAGAGAGAGCGGAGAGAGGGCAGCGAGGGAGCAUACCUGGGGCAGGGGUAGCGGUGCGACGGAGACGGCGGUAGUGGCGGCGGGGCUCACCGGAGGGGCGAAUUUCAGGGGGAAGAAGGGAGGCAGAAAACUUAGGAAUUGAAUUUUAGAAUUUAGGGAUUUAGAAGUAGGAAAAAGAGGAGGAAAAGAGAGGGGCCGAUCUCACCGCACCGGAGGCGGCGAGGACCGGCGACGUCCUGCCAAGAGAAGAGGAAGGGAGCAGUUUUGGAGAAGGGAGUUUGGUGUCUUC